AUGGCUUCUCCUGAGGACGCCAUCUCGUCCAGGAGCGGUGGCGCCUCGGCAGCCGCUAACCCUAAUCUGGAAGAUUUUUUUGACCAGCUAGAUCUCAAUGAGGAAGAGUUCAAUGAUGUGGAAAUCGACGAGGACGAUCUGGUGAUCAAGGAAAGUGUUCGGUGGCUUGCCCUCGCUAGGGUGCAUACCGAGAAGAGCUUCUCUCCAUCUGCCUUCUACAAGGACAUGAGGGCUGCUUGGAACCCUGCGCAACUGGUGAGAUUAAGACCUGUUGGUCCUAAUAGAUUUGUGGUUCAAGCAUCCUAUUUGGGUGAUUGGGAA
rnacentral:rRNA from 1 species